CAAUGGACUACAGCCGUCUGAUCCCCUGCUGCCAGCCUUGUGUAUCACACAUCACCAUUCAGGAAGACCGACAACAGUGCCAGCUGAUCCCAACUCAAGAGGCGAAGGCAUCCCAAAGGAUCCCCAAGCAUAGUAAAGUAGCAAAGUAACAGCUCUUCAAGCCAAGAAAUGCUGUAUCAACUACACCAAGCAGCCAUCUGAGGUACUACUAAGGUGCAGUGCCUUGGCAAACUGGUGCUCACCUUAAGUACACUGACAAGGCCACCUACUUGACAAGCACCUCCUUGAAGUGCAGAACUGUGCACGAAAGGUGGAAAUCUGUGACCGCUGGCUAAACGUCAGGCUACUGAGGUAAGUGAACUAUUUCAGGCCUGUGUUGUCGCACCGGCAUGGAAGUCAAC